rnacentral:rRNA from 1 species
UACACUCCUACGGGAGGCAACAGUGGGGAAUAUUGGACAAUGGGCGCAAGCCUGAUCCAGCCAUGCCGCGUGAGUGAUGAAGGCCCUAGGGUUGUAAAGCUCUUUCACCGGUGAAGAUAAUGACGGUAACCGGAGAAGAAGCCCCGGCUAACUUCGUGCCAGCAGCCGCGGUAAUACGAAGGGGGCUAGCGUUGUUCGGAUUUACUGGGCGUAAAGCGCACGUAGGCGGACUAUUAAGUCAGGGGUGAAAUCCCGGGGCUCAACCCCGGAACUGCCUUUGAUACUGGUAGUCUUGAGUUCGAGAGAGGUGAGUGGAAUUCCGAGUGUAGAGGUGAAAUUCGUAGAUAUUCGGAGGAACACCAGUGGCGAAGGCGGCUCACUGGCUCGAUACUGACGCUGAGGUGCGAAAGCGUGGGGAGCAAACAGGAUUAGAAACCCUGGUAGUCCCAUGA